rnacentral:rRNA from 1 species
UACGAAGGGGGCUAGCGUUGUUCGGAAUUACUGGGCGUAAAGCGCGCGCAGGCGGUUCUUCAAGUCGGAGGUGAAAGCCCAGAGCUCAACUCUGGAAUGGCCUUUGAGACUAGAGAACUAGGGUACGGGAGAGGUGAGUGGAAUUCCGAGUGUAGAGGUGAAAAUUCGUAGAUAUUCGGAAGAACACCAGUGGCGAAGGCGGCUCACUGGCCCGUUACCGACGCUCAGGCGCGACAGCGUGGGGAGCAA